UUGUGAUUUUAUCAAAAAUGCAGUAGAAUCUUGUUAAACGUAUGUAAUAUAUGGAUGAAAAUUUCACUGAAAAUGAGAAUCUGCUAGCCACAGAAAGACUUGGAAAUAAAGUUUCAAAGUUAAAAUCAAUAGCGGUUGAUAUUGAGGCUGAAACCAAAGAUCAUGUUAAUCUUUUAAGUGGGAUGACUUUUGAUUUUGAAAACACAAGAGGUUUUAUGCAAAAUACAUCCAGUUACAUUAAAAGAAUAAUAAAUCAAAGAAAAGGUUCUCCUAAAACGAUAUGUUAUAUAGUUUUAUUAUUGAGUGCAUCAUUUUUUAUUCUACAUAUCAUUUUUUCAUUCAAAAAAUAAAUUUUUAUAAAAUAUUAUAUUAUAGAUAUAAUAAUAUAUAUGAAAUCUAAUGUGCCAUAUCAUUUUUUAUAAUUGUAUACUUAAUUAUUAUUAUCUUAUAAACUUUGAGAAUAAAGCAAGUCAUAAAUAUUAAGAAUAUAUUAUAUUUAUGAAGCUACUUCUCUAAAUUAUAUUAGAAUGCCAUGCCAGACUAGAAAGAUCCAGAAAUAUGAAAAUGGAGAUAAAAUUUAUUAUAUUGAAAUACUUUAUAUGGUAAAUAAUAAACAAUUUAAAAAGUUU